rnacentral:rRNA from 1 species
AUGGCAUGUUGUGUGAUUCUUCACAAUACGAUCGUCGAAGAUGAGAGGGACAUGAACUUGGAGUUCUUCUACGACAAUGUCGGUAGCCGUGUGAAGCCAGCUAGAGACCCUGACCGCAUAUAAACAUUCCUUCAGAUAUACCAGCACAUUGAAAAUUCAAACACCCGCAAUGAGCUUCAGGAGGACCUCAUUGAGCACCAUUGGCAAAGGCGUUGA